rnacentral:rRNA from 1 species
CAAAGAUUUAUCGCCUUGGGAUAAGCCCGCGUCAGAUUAGGUAGUUGGUGGGGUAAUGGCCUACCAAGCCUGUGAUCUGUAGCUGGUCUGAGAGGACGAUCAGCCACAUUGGGACUGAGACACGGCCCAAACUCCUACGGGAGGCAGCAGUGGGGAAUCUUGCGCAAUGGACGAAAGUCUGACGCAGCCAUGCCGCGUGAAUGAUGAAGGUCUUAGGAUUGUAAAGUUCUUUAGCCUGUGACGAUGAUGACGGUAACAGGAGAAUAAGCCCCGGCUAACUUCGUGCCAGCAGCCGCGGUAAUACGAAGGGGGCUAGCGUUGUUCGGAAUUACUGGGCGUAAAGCGCGCGUAGGCGGUUUUACAAGCCAGAGGUGAAAUGCCUGAGCUCAACUUAGGAAUUGCCUUUGGAACUGUAUGGCUUUGAGGACGAAAGAAGUGAGUGGAAUUCCCAGUGUAGAGGUGAAAUUCGUAGAUAUUGGG